GACGAACGCUGGCGGCGUGCCUAAUACAUGCAAGUUGAGCGAUGAAGCUUGGUGCUUGCCCCAAUUUGAAGAGCAGCGAACGGGUGAGUAACGCGUGGGGAAUCUGCCUUUGAGCGGGGGACAACAUUUGGAAACGAAUGCUAAUACCGCAUAACAACUUUAAACAUAAGUUUUAAGUUUGAAAGAUGCAAUUGCAUCACUCAAAGAUGAUCCCGCGUUGUAUUAGCUAGUUGGUGAGGUAAAGGCUCACCAAGGCGAUGAUACAUAGCCGACCUGAGAGGGUGAUCGGCCACAAUGGGACUGAGACACGGCCCAAACUCCUACGGGAGGCAGCAGUAGGGAAUCUUUGGCAAUGGACGAAAGUCUGACCGAGCAACGCCGCGGGAGUGAAGAAGGGUUUCGGAUCGUAAAACUCUGUUGGUAGAGAAGAAAGUUGGUGAGAGUGGAAAGCUCAUCAAGUGACGGUAACUACACAGAAAGGGACGGCUAACUACGUG
rnacentral:rRNA from 1 species